rnacentral:rRNA from 1 species
AGUGGCGGACGGGUGAGUAAUGCAUGGGAACCUGCCCGGUAGUGGGGGACAACUUAGGGAAACUUAAGCUAAUACCGCAUACGCCCUUAGGGGGAAAGCGGGGGACCUUUUAGGCCUCGCGCUAUCGGAUGGGCCCAUGUUGGAUUAGCUAGUUGGCGGGGUAAAGGCCCACCAAGGCGACGAUCCAUAGCUGGUCUGAGAGGACGACCAGCCACACUGGGACUGAGACACGGCCCAGACUCCUACGGGAGGCAGCAGUGGGGAAUAUUGGACAAUGGGCGGAAGCCUGAUCCAGCAAUGCCGCGUGUGUGAAGAAGGCCCGAGGGUUGUAAAGCACUUUCAAUGGGGAGGAAAAAGCUAAGGUUAAUACCCUUAUAAUUGACAUUACCCAUACAAGAAGCACCGGCUAACUCCGUGCCAGCAGCCGCGGUAAUACGGAGGGUGCGAGCGUUAAUCGGAAUUACUGGGCGUAAAGCGUGCGUAGGCGGCGCGUUAAGCCAGGUGUGAAAGCCCCGGGCUCAACCUGGGAACUGCACUUGGGACUGGCGUGCUAGAGUUUGGGAGAGGGGAGCGGAAUUCCGGGUGUAGCGGUGAAAUGCGUAGAUAUCCGGAGGAACACCAGUGGCGAAGGCGGCUCCCUGGCCCAAAACUGACGCUGAGGCACGAAAGCGUGGGUAGCAAACAGGAUUAGAUACCCUGGUAGUCCACGCCGUAAACGAUGCCGACUAGC